CUUUCUUUUCAGCGAACCCUAAAUUUUAGGCAAGUCAUGUCAUACAAAAGUGUACACAGAAAACAAAAAUUUCUACUUAUUUGAUUCAACAAUUAUGCAUUCUUAGAACAAUAAAAAAAGUGAUUUAAUUAUUGACCCCUCAGAAGAUAUUUAUGAAAAAAAAGCUAUAAAACGGUGAUUUCAAACCAAGAAGCUUAGGUUUAAAAGACGAAAUCCGAUCAUAUGUAUCAUUUUUUACAUUAAUUUUCUGGCAACAUUUAUCCGAUAGUUGACCGAAAAAGAACCGAAAGCUCUGGAAGAACUGAAACCGAGUAAGCGUAAUACCUCAAUUUCAUUCUAAAACGGAUUCUUGUGUUGAAGAGUCGUACUCUAAACUUCCUUAAUCAACAUAGUAGCUUUUAUACCUGCGUAUCGCUCGAAGAGAACAAAAAUUAAAGGAACAUGGGGCUUCUAGCUGCAUUAGUGGUAAACGCGGUCGGCGGUGCUGUAAUAUAUGGCACUGGGGGUCUGUUGACUCCAUUAGUGGCUCCCGUGCUCGGUUUCAGCUCAGCGGGAAUAGCGGCAGGAAGCACAGCCGCUGCUGCACAAGCAUACUACGGAAAUUUAGUGGCCGGCAGCAUUGUGUCACAGUUGACUGCUGCUGCCAUGGUAGCCCCCACGCCAUGAGGUGAUGCUAAACAUCACCCGUUCUCGACAUCGCUCCAGGAUCGGACCUUUUCUGUUUUAUUUGGAAUUAAAAUGCAUUUAAAUUUUUAAUAAAUUUGUCGAUGCGAUGUAGUAAGAGUACUUUAUUUUGUCCUAAACGUGUGAUAAAGUAUCCCCUAUUCUAAAAAAUGGUUGGUAAACUAAAUAAUAAACUAGACCCAGUACCAUGGUAUUAGUAUCACAUUAUUGUAUUCUAGUAGGUAAUCUAGUAUAUGUGUAUACAGUGCAGCCCUCGAGUGGCACUACUUAUAUUAUUAUAUUAUCUACGUUUUCUGUGGAAAUAACAUAGAUUGAAUUUGGCCCCCCUAAAAAUAGGUGGUGUGAGGUAAUGGUUUGCUUAAUAAAAUAAUUAAUAAUUGGGAAUUUAAUUGUUUUUAUGAUCGAACAAUCGCCAAUAGUCGUUGAACAAACGAUAAUUGAUCAAAAUUAAUUAAUCUGAGCGAUAAAAAUAAAGAUCUAGUAAGGAGGGCCAACUUAAGGGUGAUCAUUUGUUUAAUUAAUCACUACAUAGUAUAAAACAAAGUCGCUUUCUCUGUCCCUAUAUCUGUCUAUCCCUAUGUAUACAAUCUUUAAAACUAUGCAACGGAUUUUGAUGCGGUUUUUUUUAUUAACAUCCAGAAUCCAGAAAUCUCCAUUGUGGAGAAAUCAAUAAUAAAUUACAGUUUCCGAAGCGAAGCGAGGGCGGGUCGCUAGUAUUAAAUAAAUAAAGACGAACAAACAAUUUUCACAUUCGAACAUUAACGAACAAACGACGAACAAAUAAUUAAAAAUAAAAAAAACCGAAAAUCAAAAAGGAGCGUCAAAUUCAGUUAGCUUAAGCAAAUAACCGUGUUGACUGAUAAAAUGGUUUUUUCAAAAAUACUUGCUUUAAGUUCAAAUAACGCGAAAGUUAUAGUUAAUAUUUCAAUUAUUAAAUCACCAAUAGGGACGAUCAUAGCUGCAGCUGACAAUGAUUACCUGUAUAUCGUAUGUUUUGAAGAUACAAAACAAUUUGAAAAUAAAUUUAAAGCAUUGGCUAAAGAGUUAUCUUGCCGCUUUGUUCACGAAGAAAACAAAAUUUUAAACACAUUGAAAGAAGAACUGUUAAGUUAUUUCAAUGGAAAUCUAAAGAAAUUCUCUGUACCGCUGAAAACUCUUGGUUCUGACUUUCAAAAGAAUGUCUGGAUGAAAUUACAAGAAAUUCCCUUUGGCUCCACUUAUACAUAUAGUGACAUUACUAAGGCAUUGGGACGACCAACAACCCAUGCUAGAGCAGUAGGUUCAGCCUGUGGUGCCAAUACACAUCUUAUAGUUACUCCAUGUCAUAGAUUAAUUAGUUUAUCUUCUAAAGGUGGAUUUAAUAGUGGAAUCAAUCGUAAAGAAUGGCUUAUUGAACAUGAGAAGAAAUAUGCAAACAAUCUAUGAAACCAACAUUCCAAAAAAACAUUCAGCAAAACAUUAGUUGAAAUAGUAAUUAACUCUCUGAUACUCUGAUCUCAAAGUGUGAUUUAAGAAUAAGAAUGAAACUGGUGGCAUUUAUCCUGAAUAAAAAAAUGGCCCAUGUCAUAAUCUACUAUAACAAUUUUAUGAAUUAAUUAUUGAGUGAAAGAAGUACAAACAAACAAAGACAUUUAUUUAAAAUAUUAUUGUCUCUGGGCAUUAUGAUGCAUAGGCAUGAGAUGUCUAUGUAGUAAUUUUAGUAUCAGCAAUGUCAAGGAGAAUGAAGUUAGCCCCUCAAAAAAUUUUUUUUUUCCUGUUUUAUACUUAUAUUCUAUUAAUUCGUUUGUUCAUCAUUUGUUCAUGAUUGUUCACUGUUAAUAAUUGUUUGUUCUGCAGUUAUUUAUUUUAAAAAAAUAUUUAAAAAUAUACCUACAAGUUAGCCCCUCUAAUGCAAUUUUUAAUAUUUUUUCAUCCUUAAUGACUCGUAAAUAUUCAUUUUCGAUUGUUCUUAUAUAAAACACGUUUGUUCUCUUUCGAAAUUACUCGUUUUUUGUUUAAUUUACUAUUUUUAUUAGUUGAAUAAAUGUAUGCAAAAUAUGUGUACUGCGCAUGCGUCAACUAUAAUGCCUAAACUUUCUACGCGGUUUUAAUCGUGAAAAAAAAAACAAAUGUAUUUGGUCUAACUUAACGCCAAUGCACAUUAUUUCAUUUAUUUAUUUUUAAUUUUUUUUAAUUAAACUGUAUACCCUUCGAUCAACAAUAGUAACUAGAUAAAGGGAUACGUACAAAAUUAAAGCAAAAACUGUCCGCGUGAAUAUAUACUUAUAUAGCUACAUUCGUUUACUAACAAACGGAGAAAAAAGUUUUGAAACACUUUUACUUUCAAACUAAUAACAAUUAUGGCACCUAGUAAUAAAGUCACAAAUCUCCAAAACAUUAUCUAAUACUUACGAUCAUUCGUCACAUAAAACGAGCAAAGCAAUAAAUUACUCCUGUCACUUACCAAUAAAAAGACAUAUUUUAAACAACUUUUAAUGUUAAAUCAAUCUUAAAGUGCAACAAAUAAAGUAACUUUUCCCUUAAUUGCUCUGAGAACUAACAUCGUUUUGCUUUAUUUAUUUUUGCUUCUUGAAAUGCCGAUUUCUAUUUACUACAGGAGGUAAGGGAGUCGCGCUUAACACUAAAAUAAUUUAUUAAUGAAUUAAAGUAAAAGUUUAGUUGUUUACUUUUUAUGUUUUGGAAAUGUAUGUUUGUUAGUAUCUAUACAUUACUUAUUAUUUUAUUAGCGUUACGUUUUUGUGUAAUAUAUAUUUUUAAGUUUUCGCGACCAGUGCACAUAAUAAAACAACGUUUAAACGGUUUCAAGCGUGGUAUUUUUAUUACAAUGUUUCGGCCACAUUUCAGUAGCCGUGAGCACGGAAGGCAAAGAUGUCCAGUGUCAAUAAGCGGAGUUCUUAGCUGGCUUAUAAAAGUCAUCUCUUGUUUCUCUGGCGACAAUCGAGAUCCAUUCUGCACACGUGAUUGCUAGGAAAGCUAAAAUAAAAAUGGAAAGCUAAGUAUCUAAUGAGAGUCCAACAAACAGACACAAAAGCAGCAUUAACCAAUUUUAACCAACUAAUUUUGAAGUGCUGCUAACAAAUUUUAAAAAAUUAUUACAACACAAAUCUACUCCAUGCAUUUACUGUUCUGUUAAGCAAAAGUUUGUCCAUGUGUUGGCCGAGCCUUGGCCAACAUUUGUAGCGGUGGUUAAAAAUCGGUAAUUUUGUUCAAAAUUUAAUAUUAUUUAUAAGUUUAAAGCUUACAAUAUAGUUUAUACUUCAUGUACUUACCGAAAGUAAGAUACUCCGGCCGUUAAAUUGCUUUUCGGGCCUUAUUUUUGCAACUUUUGAAUACACACUGCGGUAUUGUGAGACGGGUUGACAUUGGCUGUGUUUGAAGUAAACUAAACAAAAUAAGGUAAGCUGUGGCUUAAAUCUGCUCCUGACAUUGCUGAUACUAAAAUUACUACAUAGACAUCUCAUGCCUAUGCAUCAUAAUGCCCAGAGACAAUCAUAUUUUAAAUAAAUGUCUUUGUUUGUUUGUACUUCUUUCACUCAAUAAUUAAUUCAUAAAAUUGUUAUAGUAGAUUAUGACAUGGGCCAUUUUUUUAUUCAGGAUAAAUGCCACCAGUUUCAUUCUUAUUCUUAAAUCACACUUUGAGAUCAGAGUAUCAGAGAGUUAAUUACUAUUUCAACUAAUGUUUUGCUGAAUGUUUUUUUGGAAUGUUGGUUUCAUAGAUUGUUUGCAUAUUUCUUCUCAUGUUCAAUAAGCCAUUCUUUACGAUUGAUUCCACUAUUAAAUCCACCUUUAGAAGAUAAACUAAUUAAUCUAUGACAUGGAGUAACUAUAAGAUGUGUAUUGGCACCACAGGCUGAACCUACUGCUCUAGCAUGGGUUGUUGGUCGUCCCAAUGCCUUAGUAAUGUCACUAUAUGUAUAAGUGGAGCCAAAGGGAAUUUCUUGUAAUUUCAUCCAGACAUUCUGUUAAACAAUUUAAAAAAAUUAAUACUGCUAUUUAUAAGAAAAGUAUUGGUGGUGUCUAUUUUUAUAGGGAGUGACAUGAUUUUGUCUCUAGGGUUACUCAAGUAUAUGAGCCACAGAGGGAAGGUAAAAUAUCUUCAGUUUAUGCACAAAUACACAAAUUACCAAUAAAAAUGCUAUCAGUCUUUUCUUUUCGAGUUUGUUUGUAGGAAGCAAGAAGCAUUUUUAUUUUAUUUGUUUGCUAUAAAUAAGCUUAAAGACAAGUGUUCUUCACAACCAAUAAAUGUCAUAUUUUCUUUUGAAAUUUA